UACGUAGGGUGCGAGCGUUGUCCGGAAUUACUGGGCGUAAAGAGCUCGUAGGUGGUUUGUCGCGUUGUUCGUGAAAACUCACAACUCAAUUGUGGGCGUGCGGGCGAUACGGGCAGACUGGAGUACUGCAGGGGAGACUGGAAUUCCUGGUGUAGCGGUGAAAUGCGCAGAUAUCAGGAGGAACACCAAUGGCGAAGGCAGCUCGCUGGAACGGUACUGACGCUGAGGCGCGAAAGCGUGGGGAGCGAACAGG
rnacentral:rRNA from 1 species